AGAGAUUGAACAUAAGAGUUUGAUCCUGGCUCAGAUUGAACGCUGGCGGCAUGCUUUACACAUGCAAGUCGGACGGCAGCACAGGGAAGCUUGCUUCUCGGGUGGCGAGUGGCGAACGGGUGAGUAACAUAUCGGAACGUACCGGGUAGCGGGGGAUAACUGAUCGAAAGAUCAGCUAAUACCGCAUACGUCUUGAGAGGGAAAGCAGGGGACCUUCGGGCCUUGCGCUAUCCGAGCGGCCGAUAUCUGAUUAGCUGGUUGGCGGGGUAAAGGCCCACCAAGGCGACGAUCAGUAGCGGGUCUGAGAGGAUGAUCCGCCACACUGGGACUGAGACACGGCCCAG
rnacentral:rRNA from 1 species